rnacentral:rRNA from 1 species
GAUGAACGCUAGCGGGAGGCCUAACACAUGCAAGCCGAGCGGUAUUGUUUCUUCGGAAAUGCGAGAGCGGCGUACGGGUGCGUAACACGUGUGCAACCUGCCUUUAUCUGGGGGAUAGCCUUUCGAAAGGAAGAUUAAUACUCCAUAAUAUAUUGAACGGCAUCGUUUAAUAUUGAAAGCUCCGGCGGAUAGAGAUGGGCACGCGCAAGAUUAGCUAGUUGGUGAGGUAACGGCUCACCAAGGCGAUGAUCUUUAGGGGGCCUGAGAGGGUGAUCCCCCACACUGGUACUGAGACACGGACCAGACUCCUACGGGAGGCAGCAGUGAGGAAUAUUGGUCAAUGGGUGCAAGCCUGAACCAGCCAUCCCGUGUGAAGGACGACUGCCCUAUGGGUUGUAAACUUCUUUUGUAUAGGGAUAAACCUACCCUCGAGAGGGUAGCUGAAGGUACUAGACGAAUAAGCACCGGCUAACUCCGUG